AAUGUUUAUACCCAAAGAAAGUUAUAAAUACCCAAAGGGAUUAAAAACAUGUGUGAGUAUAUUUUCAAUGGGUAAAAAGAAUAAUUUUUGUGCGUAAGUUAUAAGUUUCCGGACAUGAUGAAAUCAUUACUGCGCAGAAGAUCACCACGUGUUUAUGAAGACAAGCCGUGAAAGUUAGUCAACAUUUUCUUUCCCUGUCUCAUCCAGUGUCAUCCAGACAACAAUCAGAUAAUACAAACGAACAAUUUAACCUAAGUGAGAUGUCCCGAAAGAGUCUAUUUCGAGGCGCUCAAGAGAGUGAGAACCCAUCCAAUCAGGACAGGCAACAACUUGUCACAAGCCACACCACUGGUGAUACAAAGGUACCAGUUGAGAAUGAGAAAGUCACACAUAGUGGAACUCCAGCCAUUCAAGGU